AUACGGAGGAUCCGAGCGUUAUCCGGAUUUAUUGGGUUUAAAGGGUGCGCAGGCGGGAGAUUAAGUCGGCGGUGAAAUUUUGGAGCUCAACCGUAAAAGGGCCUUCGAAACUGGUUUCCUUGAGUGUAGAUGAAGUAGGCGGAAUUUGUGGUGUAGCGGUGAAAUGCAUAGAUAUCACGAGGAACUCCGAUUGCGCAGGCAGCUUACUAAACUACUACUGACGCUCAGGCACGAAGGCGUGGGGAUCAAACAGGAUUAGAUACCCUGGUAGUCCACGCAGUAAACGAUGAUUACUAGCUGUUUGCGAUACAAUGUAAGCGGCUGAGCGAAAGCGUUAAGUAAUCCACCUGGGGAGUACGUUCGCAAGAAUGAAACUCAAAUGAAUUGACGGGG
rnacentral:rRNA from 1 species